CAGCUGCGGUCACAGGAGGCAGCAAUCAGGACAGUCUCCAGCAUGGCCUGGUCUCCUCUCCUCCUCACUCUCCUCGCUCACUGCACAGGUGA
rnacentral:pre_miRNA from 1 species